rnacentral:misc_RNA from 1 species
AGAUGGAUCAUUUACGUUAUUAUCACAACAAAUGUGGUUGUUUACCAGCAGGAACUUCGUAUUUAGCGGUCCCCGCAUUGUGCCCCCGUGAAACCUUUGAAUUAAAAGUAGGUGGUCGACCGUCGAAAGAGUUUAGAGGUUCCUAGUUACACUAUUUUCUGCGAUGGAUGUCUCGGACCUCAUAACGAUGAAGGAUGCAGCUAGCUGCAUUAUGCAGUAUGACUUGCAACUUUCUCUGAAUUACUAGAUUUCUGAAUGCGCAUGGUACCCCUAAACUUUGUUUAGGGGUAAGUUCCCUUCAGUGCUUUGUUUACUUUGUAUGUGCAAAUUUGUGCACAACGUGAUUAGUAACUGUUGUGACAGUUACUCAACUUAUAAUGGUUUCGUCUCUCAAGUGAUAAAGUGUUGGAGGCUGUUACCCAUAGUAGCUAAAAAAUAAGCCUGAAGUUGAUCUAGAUUACCCGCUGAACUUAAGCAUAUUACUAAGCGGAGGAAAAGAAACUAACCAGGAUUUCCUUAGUAGCGGCGAGUGAACAGGGAAAAGCUCAAACUGACAAUCGGCAGUUCGCUGUUGAGUUGUAGUCUGAUGAAGUGCAGCCUGUGGGUGGCUCUGGGUUAAGUCUCUUGGAAAAGAGUGCUACAGAGGGUGAAAGUCCCGUCUUUACUCAGGAUUACUUAUGUUCGGUGCAUUUUCCAAGAGUCGCGUUCCUCGAGAUUGGAGCGCAAAGAGGGUGAUAAAUUUCAUCUAAAGCUAAAUACCAAUGAGUUUCCGAUAGUUUACAAGUACCGUGAGGGAAAGAUGAAAAGGACUUUGAAAAGAGAGUUAAAAGGAACUGAAAUUGCUGAAAGAGAAGUGGAGAGAAGCUACGACUUAGUGGGUCACGGUAUUCGUUUAAGUUAUUAGUGACUUGGGUCGAGUACCAGUGACUCGCGGUGACUCUGGGAGUGGUCUCCAUUUUUAACUAAGGUGGUAAAGCUACUUUUUCGGAAGUACUUUGUCGCUGGUCUUUAACUAUGGUCCCUCCCUACCUAGAGGAGCGUUUGAUUUGUUCCUCUACGUUAUCCCAGAGAUGUCGCUUCUCUCCGUCCCGUCUUGAAACACGGACCAAGGAGUCUAACUUGUAUGCGAGUAUAGGGGAAAACAUCCCGCGUGCGAAGUGAAAGUAAUAGUCAGGAAGGUUUACCUGAACUGACAUCCGGCUAUCAAGCUGCGGCUGAGCAUACAGGGUAGGACCCGAAAGAUGGUGAACUAUGCUUGAGUAGGGUGAAGCCAGGGGAAACUCUGGUGGAGGUCCGUAGCGAUACUGACGUGCAAAUCGUUCGUCAAACUUGAGUAUAGGGGCGAAAGACUAAUCGAACCAUCUAGUAGCUGGUUCUUUC